rfam:Bacteria symbiont BFo2 of Frankliniella occidentalis strain BFo2 contig037, whole genome shotgun sequence.
AACCUUCGGGUUACAGUCUGAGUAGUUGCAGACUGAUGGCUGGUGACUAUAAUGGUUACCAGCCU